rnacentral:tRNA from 1 species
GGCGGGGUAGCCAGGUCCAUCCCGCCGGGCUCAUAACCCGGAGGUCCCGGGUUCAAAUCCCGGCCCCGCUA